UACGGGAGGCAGCAGUGGGGAAUAUUGCACAAUGGGCGCAAGCCUGAUGCAGCCAUGCCGCGUGUAUGAAGAAGGCCUUCGGGUUGUAAAGUACUUUCAGUCGUGAGGAAGGUGUUAAGGUUAAUAACCUUAGCAAUUGACGUUAGCGACAGAAGAAGCACCGGCUAACUCCGUGCCAGCAGCCGCGGUAAUACGGAGGGUGCGAGCGUUAAUCGGAAUUACUGGGCGUAAAGGGCACGCAGGCGGUUAAUUAAGUUGGAUGUGAAAUCCCCGGGCUUAACCUGGGAAUGGCAUUCAAGACUGGUUAGCUAGAGUCUUGUAGAGGGGGUAGAAUUCCAUGUGUAGCGGUGAAAUGCGUAGAGAUGUGGAGGAAUCCGGUGGCGAAGGCGGCCCCUGGGACAAAGGCUGACGCUCAUGUGCGAAAGCGUGGGGAGCAAAC
rnacentral:rRNA from 1 species